rnacentral:rRNA from 1 species
AUUGAACGCUGGCGGCAGGCCUAACACAUGCAAGUCGAGCGGUUGACGGGAGCUUGCUCCCUGAUUCAGCGGCGGACGGGUGAGUAAUGCCUAGGAAUCUGCCUAUUAGUGGGGGACAACGUUUCGAAAGGAACGCUAAUACCGCAUACGUCCUACGGGAGAAAGCAGGGGACCUUCGGGCCUUGCGCUAAUCGCUGAGCCUAGGUCGGAUUAGCUUGUUGGUGAGGUAAUGGCUCACCAAGGCGACGAUCCGUAACUGGUCUGAGAGGAUGAUCAGUCACACUGGAACUGAGACACGGUCCAGACUCCUACGGGAGGCAGCAGUGGGGAAUAUUGGACAAUGGGCGAAAGCCUGAUCCAGCCAUGCCGCGUGUGUGAAGAAGGUCUUCGGAUUGUAAAGCACUUUAAGUUGGGAGGAAGGGUUGUAGAUUAAUACUCUGCAAUUUUGACGUUACCGACAGAACAAGCACCGGCUAACUCUGUGCCAGCCGCCGCAGUAACAC